GUGAGGAAUUUUCCGCAAUGGGCGAAAGCCUGACGGAGCAAUGCCGCGUGAAGGAUGAAGGCCUAUGGGUUGUAAACUUCUUUUCUCAGAAAAGAAUUAUGACGGUAUCUGAGGAAUAAGCAUCGGCUAACUCUGUGCCAGCAGCCGCGGUAAGACAGAGGAUGCAAGCGUUAUCCGGAAUGAUUGGGCGUAAAGCGUCUGUAGGUUGCUUAAAAAGUAUUCUGUCAAAGAUUAGGGCUUAACCCUAGAUAGGCAGAAUAAACUUUUAAGCUAGAGUUUGGUAGAGGCAGAGGGAAUUCCCGGUGGAGCGGUGAAAUGCGUAGAUAUCGGGAGGAACACCAAAGGCGAAGGCACUCUGCUGGGCCAAUACUAACACUGAGAGACGAAAGCGAGGGGAGCAAAUGGGAUUAGAUACCCCUGUAGUCC
rnacentral:rRNA from 1 species